rnacentral:rRNA from 1 species
GACGAACGCUGGCGGGGGGCUUAACACAUGCAAGUCGAGCGGAAAGUCCCUGCUUUUGUGGUGUGCUAGAGUGGCGAACGGGCGAGUAACACGUGAGUGACCUGCCCUUGACUUUGUGAUAACGUUAGGAAACUGGAGCUAAUACCGAAUAGCAGCUCCUUCUUCAUUGGGGGGAUUGGAAAUUCUCGGCGGUGGGGGAUGGACUCGCGGGUUAUUAGAUUGUUGGUGGGGUAGUGGCUUACCAAGGCUUUGACGGGUAGCCGGCCUGAGAGGGUGACGGGGAAAAGUGGCACACAGAUACGGCACGGACUCGUGAGGGAUACAGGAGUGGGGAAUAGUGCAUAAUGGGGGGAAGCCUCGUGCAGGAACGACGAGCGCGGGAUGAUAGACUUCGUGUUGACAACCGCUUUCGUACGUGAGGAAGCGUAGGUGAAGGUACUGUGUGAAGAAGCACCGGCUAACUACGUG